CGCAGAGUAUUGUGGAUGUGUCGGUGAAGGCUUCGUUUAGUCCGGAUAAAAUAAUUCUCACAAAUAAGAAUAGUGAGAUAAGUGUAAAAAUCUGCUUCAGUGCUCACUUCAGACCUGCCAGCUCCAGCAAACAAUUAGUGGCCAUCACUUACAAUGCAACACUAGAUGCUGAUCUGCUGUCAUCGCGAGUGACGUCUAGAGGACAGUUCAAGGAAAAUGGCGACCGAUUACUAACAAAAAAUGUUGACAUAAGCACAGAGGAAAGUUGUUUUGAACACAUCUUUAACGUUCAGGUACGAAGUCUAGCUCUGCCCCCUGAUGGAUCCGCAAGUCCCGCGCCAGGAUCUGGCUGGCAGGCAGCUUGGUCACCCCUGCUCUAUGGCUUACUAUCGAUGGGUUCCCUGUGAAUGCUUUUAUACCAUUGAGGUUAACCGCCACUGGUAUCAACCAAAACCAGAAGUUAUUUUGUAUAUAAAUAUGAAAUAAAGAUAUAGCAAGAAUUUAUAAACAUAAAAGUAUUAAUGUUUCAGGAGCUAAUCAGAAAUGUGGAUAAUGUAUUUGUAAUAAAGUUAUGUCUGUGGUGUUGAGAAAUAAAUUU